GAAGCCUUACUCUUUGCUCCCAUCUCCCUUUUCUAAUAUUUGUUACGAGGAAAUAGUGUAACAUAAACUAUGGGGUUUUGUAGUUUGGUUUGUUGUUUUUUUUUUCAAGGAAUUUUGUCCUUUACUUUACUCACUUGUCCUAUGAUUAUUUGUACAACAAUUUUUAUUUUCUUUUUUGCUGUUGCAAGCAGGUUCUGAUAUGUAGAUUGAUUGAUAGGCCUUUGCGUCCAACAAUGCUGAAAGGCUUCUACCAUGAAACUCAGAUACUUUCUUGGGUUCUGAGUUAUGAUGGUUUGCACUCUCAAGAUGCUUUGGCAAUCACAGCUGCAGGAAUAGCAGUUGCUUUAUCGGAAGUGCCAAAUGCAAAGACUAUUGUUGGAGUUCGAAGUUGGACUUGUUGCUAGCAGGCACAGAUGAUGCAAUACUAAUGAUCAAGGUAGACUCGUACUGCAGAUUAGCUUGUUCUAACUCAUUGCAUUUCUUUUUAGCAGGACACUUAUCAACUAUUUUAAUCUCUUCAUAAAUUGAUUGUAUUGAUUUUAUAUGUUGUGAUGGAUUAUCAUCUAGUAGUAGGGUUUUUUUUCCUACAUAGUAGUUUGUUGGGGAUUUGGUUUUUAGAAUUUUUUUGAUUUGUUCAUACUGUAAGUUUUACACUCAAGCUUGCAACACCAUGAUUUGUAUGCUGCUUUAAGGUCAUGAAUAUUAACUUGCUACUAUUGAGAUCAAAAAUAAAAAUUGAGGUUAA